rnacentral:rRNA from 1 species
AUUGAACGCUGGCGGCAGGCCUAACACAUGCAAGUCGAACGAGUGGCGGACGGGUGAGUAAUGUCUGGGAAACUGCCUGAUGGAGGGGGAUAACUACUGGAAACGGUAGCUAAUACCGCAUACCAUCGGAUGUGCCCAGAUGGGAUGAGCUAGUAGGUGGGGUAAAGGCUCACCUAGGCGACGAUCCCUAGCUGGUCUGAGAGGAUGACGAGCAACACUGGAACUGAGAAACGGGCCAGACUCCUACGGGAGGCAGCAGUGGGGAAUAUUGCACGAGGGGCGCAAGCAUGAUGGAGCCAAGCCGCGUGUAUGAAGAAGGCCGUAGGGUUGUAAAGUACUUUCAGCGGGGAGGCGUUACCAGCAGAAGAAGCACCGGCUAACGCCGUGCCAGCAGCCGCGGUAAUAC